rnacentral:tRNA from 1 species
UCCCUGUUCAGUUGGUAAAAAAUCUGCCUGCAAUGCAGGAGACCCUGGUUCAAUUCCUGGAUCGGGAA